AACGAACGCUGGCGGCAUGCCUAACACAUGCAAGUCGAACGGGAUCCUGGCUUCGGUCAGGUGAGAGUGGCGGACGGGUGAGUAACGCGUGGGAACCUGCCCAGUGGUGGGGGAUAACUGCGGGAAACUGCAGCUAAUACCGCAUGAGCCCGAGAGGGGAAAGAUUUAUCGCCAUUGGAGGGGCCCGCGUUCGAUUAGGUAGUUGGUGGGGCUAAUGGCCUACCAAGCCGACGAUCGAUAGCUGGUCUGAGAGGAUGAUCAGCCACACUGGGACUGAGAUACGGCCCAGACUCCUACGGGAGGCAGCAGUGGGGAAUAUUGGACAAUGGGGGCAACCCUGAUCCAGCAAUGCCGCGUGAGUGAUGAAGGCCUCGGGUUGUAAAGCUCUUUUGCCAGGGACGAUGAUGACGGUACCUGGAGAAUAAGCCCCGGCUAACUUCGUGCCAGCAGCCGCGGUAAUACGAAGGGGGUCAAGCGUUGUUCGGAAUUACUGGGCGUAAAGGGCGCGUAGGCGGCUUAUCAAGUCAGGCGUGAAAUU
rnacentral:rRNA from 1 species